AGAGUUUGAUCAUGGCUCAGAUUGAACGCUGGCGGUAUGCUUAACACAUGCAAGUCGAACGGAAACGAUGGUAGCAUGCCUUCUGAUGACGAGUGGCGGACGGGUGAGUAAUACAUAGGAAUCUGCCUAGUAGUGGGGGACAACUUGGGGAAACUCAAGCUAAUACCGCAUACGCCCUACGGGGGAAAGCGGGGGAUCUUCAAAGCUUUCGCUAUUGGAUGAGCCUGCGUGAGAUUAGCUAGUUGGUAGGGUAAAGGCCUACCAAGGCGACGAUCUCUAGCUGGUCUGAGAGGACGAUCAGCCACACUGGUACUGAGACACGGCCCAGACUCCUACGGGAGGCAGCAGUAGGGAGUAUUGGACAAUGGGCGCAAGCCUGAUCCAGCAAUGCCGCGUGUGUGAAGAAGGCCUGCGGGUUGUAAAGCACUUUCAAUUGGGAAGAAAGAUUUAGAGUUAAUACCUCUUAAUAUUGACUUACCAAUAGAAGAAGCACCGGCUAACUCUGUGCCAGCAGCCGCGGUAAUACAGAGGGUGCGAGCGUUAAUCGGAAUUACUGGGCGUAAAGAGUACGUAGGUGGUUAAAUCAGUCGGAUGUGAAAGCCCCAGGCUUAACUUGGGAAUUGCAUUCGAUACUGUUUGACUAGAGUACAGUAGAGAGAAGCGGAAUUCCUAGUGUAGCGGUGAAAUGCGUAGAUAUUAGGAAGAACACCAGUGGCGAAGGCGGCUUCUUGGAUUGAUACUGACACUGAGGUACGAAAGCGUGGGGAGCAAACAGGAUUAGAUACCCCGGUAGUCCACGCCGUAAACGAUGUCUACUAGCCGUUGGGAGACUUGAUCUCUUAGUGGCGCAGCUAACGCAAUAAGUAGACCGCCUGGGGAGUACGGCCGCAAGGUUAAAACUCAAAUGAAUUGACGGGGGCCCGCACAAGCGGUGGAGCAUGUGGUUUAAUUCGACGCAACGCGAAGAACCUUACCACCCCUUGACAUCCUCAGAACUUGUUAGAAAUAACUUGGUGCCUUCGGGAAUUGAGUGACAGGUGCUGCAUGGCUGUCGUCAGCUCGUGUCGUGAGAUGUUGGGUUAAGUCCCGUAACGAGCGCAACCCUUGUCCUUAUUUGCCAGCACGUAAUGGUGGGAACUCUAAGGACUGCCGGUGACAAACCGGAGGAAGGUGGGGACGACGUCAAGUCAUCAUGGCCCUUACGGGGUGGGCUACACACGUGCUACAAUGGUCGGUACAGAGGGUUGCGAAGUCGCGAGGCGGAGCCAAUCCCAGAAAGCCGAUCGUAGUCCGGAUUGCAGUCUGCAACUCGACUGCAUGAAGUUGGAAUCGCUAGUAAUCGCGAAUCAGAACGUCGCGGUGAAUACGUUCCCGGGCCUUGUACACACCGCCCGUCACACCAUGGGAGUGGGUUGCAAAAGAAGUGGGUAGUCUAACCUUCGGGAGGGCGCUCACCACUUUGUGAUUCAUGACUGGGGUGAAGUCGAAACAAGGUA
rnacentral:rRNA from 1 species